UACGUAGGGCGCGAGCGUUGUCCGGAAUUAUUGGGCGUAAAGGGCGCGUAGGCGGUGCCACAAGUCACCUGUGAAAUCUCCGGGCUUAACUCGGAGCCUGCAGGCGAAACUGUGGUGCUGGAGUGUGGGAGAGGUGAGUGGAACUGCGAGUGUAGAGGUGAAAUUCGUAGAUAUUCGCAAGAACACCAGUGGCGAAGGCGGCUCACUGGCCCGAUACUGACGCUGAGGCACGAAAGCGUGGGGAGCAAACAGG
rnacentral:rRNA from 1 species